UCAUCUGAUGAUGAGGGGACUAGCCUGAGAGCAGUACUCCUGAAGGAAAGCCGCACUGGAUCCGAGCUUAUAGCCCGUGUGAUAGCACUGUGUCCUGAACCACCUCACACAGCCCAGGAGACAGACUGCACAUUCCAGAUGGAUUACCUGCUGAUUCACUUCUCACACCACUAACAAGGUCAUGCUGACGUACACACUGUGCCCUGACUAGGCAGGCUCUCUGCCUCCCUCUUCCCAGACCUUCAUCCUCCACUCAUCCUCCAGCACCCAGAGCAACCACCAUCUGCUCCAGGACUCCUUCCCUGGUGCCCAAACCGUGCCCCUGAGACCAGAGCACCAACUCCAACUAAAGCACUGACAAUCCCAUUAAAGCACUGAUAAGCAACAGCACCUUGCUAUCAACCGCCAACUUGUCCCACCCAGUAGCUGUGCCCCGCCUGGAAGAGCAGAAGGGGUUUUUCAUCUCCUUAAUGCCAGUGCCUCACCUGUAGUGGAUAUGCAAUAAAGGUUAACUGAAUUAAAUUGA